rnacentral:rRNA from 1 species
CCUACGGGAGGCAGCAGUGGGGAAUCUUGGACAAUGGGGGGAACCCUGAUCCAGCGACGCCGCGUGAGUGAAGAAGUAUUUCGGUAUGUAAAGCUCUAUCAGCAGGGAAGAAAGAAAUGACGGUACCUGACUAAGAAGCCCCGGCUAACUACGUGCCAGCAUCCGCGGUAAUACGUAGGGGGCAAGCGUUAUCCGGAUUUACUGGGUGUAAAGGGAGCGUAGACGGCGAUGCAAGUCUGAAGUGAAAGGCGGGGGCCCAACCCCCGGACUGCUUUGGAAACUGUAUGGCUGGAGUGCAGGAGAGGUAAGUGGAAUUCCUAGUGUAGCGGUGAAAUGCGUAGAGAUUAGGAGGAACACCAGUGGCGAAGGCGGCUUACUGGACUGUAACUGACGUUGAGGCUCGAAAGCGUGGGGAGCAAACAGGAUUAGAUACCCCAGUAGUC